rnacentral:misc_RNA from 1 species
AGCAGCCGCGGUAAUUCCAGCUCCAAUAGCGUAUAUUAAAGUUGUUGCAGUUAAAAAGCUCGUAGUUGAAUUUCGGGAUCAAUUAAUCGGUCGUGCCUCUGGUACGCACUGGUUUUAUUGGUUUCUCCCUUCUGACGAACCAGGAUGUCAUUAAUUUGGUGUCUUGGAGAAUCAGGACUGUUACUUUGAAAAAAUUAGAGUGUUUAAAGCAGGCUAACGCUUGAAUACAUUAGCACGGAAUAAUGAAAUAGGACGUUUGAUCCUAUUUUGUUGGUUUCUAGGAUCGACGUAAUGAUUAAUAGGGAUAGUUGGGGGCAUUAGUAUUCAAUUGUCAGAGGUGAAAUUCUUGGAUUUAUUGAAGACUAACUACUGCGAAAGCAUUUGCCAAGGAUGUUUUCAUUAAUCAAGAACGAAAGUUAGGGGAUCGAAGACGAUCAGAUACCGUCGUAGUCUUAACCAUAAACUAUGCCGACUAGGGAUCGGAUGAUGUUAAUUUUUUAAUGACUCAUUCGGCGCCUUA